GGAUAUGAGGGCGAUCUGGCUGCGACAUCUGUCACCCCCUUGAUCACCAGAGUUGAUCUGGCUGGCUAGCUGGUGUCCUCUUCCUCCCUCACCACUCUAGUGUAUUCCUUUCAAAGCUGUGCACUCGGUUGGUCAGAGAGGAUGACCAUCCCGAUGGAGGAGGACCCUGUUUCCUCAAGGGUAUACAAGUAGUUGCACUCCCCUGCUAGGACCUCCGAACAGGCUCUCAAGAUAAAUAUAGAAACUACACAGAUCAUGAUGGUACAGCUUGAUGAUCUGUCAUGUAAAUUCACUCA
rnacentral:snRNA from 1 species